rnacentral:tRNA from 1 species
GCGCUCAUAGCUCAACUGGAUAGAGCAACUGCCUUCUAAGUAGUAGGUUGCAGGUUCGAGCCCUGCUGGGCGCGCCA